AUUGAACGCUGGCGGCAGGCCUAACACAUGCAAGUCGAACGAGUGGCGGACGGGUGAGUAAUGUCUGGGAAACUGCCCGAUGGAGGGGGAUAACUACUGGAAACGGUAGCUAAUACCGCAUACCAUCGGAUGUGCCCAGAUGGGAUUAGCUAUUGGGUGGGGUAACGGCUCACCUAGGCGACGAUCCCUAGCUGGUCUGAGAGGAUGACCAGCCACACUGGAACUGAGACCCGGUCCAGACCCCUACGGGAGGCAGCAGUGGGGAACAUUGGCCAAUGGGCGCAAUCCUGAUGCAGCCAUGCCGCUUGGAUGAAGAAGGCCUUCGGGUGGUAAAGUACUUUCAGCGAGGAGGCGUUACUCGCAGAAGAAGCACCGGCUAACUCCGUGCCAGCCGCCGCGGUAAUUC
rnacentral:rRNA from 1 species